rnacentral:rRNA from 1 species
AUUGAACGCUGGCGGCAGGCCUAACACAUGCAAGUCGAGCGGAGCGGCGGACGGGCGAGUAAUGCCUAGGAAUCUGCCUGGUAGAGGGGGAUAACGACCGGAAACGGGCGCUAAUACCGCAUACUCGCUGAUGGGCCUAGGUAGGAUUGGCUAGUUGGUGGGGUAAGGGCUUACCAAGGCGACGAUCCGUAACUGGUCUGAGAGGAUGAUCAGUCACACUGGAACUGAGACACGGUCCAGACUCCUACGGGAGGCAGCAGUGGGGAAUAUUGGACAAUGGGCGAAAGCCUGAUGCAGCCAUGCCGCGUGUGUGAAGAAGGUCUUCGGAUUGUAAAGCACUUUAGGUUGGGAGGCGUUACCAACAGAAUAAGCACCGGCUAACUUCGUGCCAGCAGCCGCGGUAAUAC